CUGUUGAGUGCUUUGGUUAAGGAGCUUGAAAUUAGCAAAAUGGAAGUUGUGUAUAAGGAGAUGAUAAAGAGAAGGAUUGGACCUAGUUUAAUUAGUUUUAAUGUUGUGAUUAAUGGUUUGUGUAAAGCAGGGAAAUUGAAUAAAGCUAGUGAUGUUAUUGAGGAUAUGAAAGUGUGGGGAGUAUCACCAAAUGUAAUUACCUAUAAUACUCUC
rnacentral:misc_RNA from 1 species